UAGAAGCAUUAUAGAUUCAUAGUUACUAUUUUCUCCUCUGAAAAGUCUUCGUAUAAAAUCAAAUCUCUUAAAACUGGUAUUAUUUUCCAAAACAGUAAUUCAAGAUAAUGAAGACUAUGUAGCAGACACCUUUAGAGUAUGCCUACCCAGCUCACAUCACCCUGCAUCCUGGGAACUGCAUACCCAUCAGUCAUCUAGAUGCCAUGUCACUCUGGCCACGCCCACAAGUCACUAGGCCACAUGAAAACGUGAGAUCCUUUCUCAUCUGAGGUUCAUCCUCCUGUGAAUCUGGUGAAAGCCCAAUAAUAUCAAACCUGGAAAAUAAGGCAAAAUCUUAAAAAGAAUAUCUACUCAUGGUUUGAAUUAAGUGACUUCAGAGAUGGCACAGCUCCAGGUGACAAGGCCCAAGGAUGACUGUGGAUGACCAACGGUGAGAGAAGAAAAUGUUACUGUAGAAGAGAAGAGCCAAGGAAGGAUCAGCAGGAAAAACUCCCCAGAAGACGGUGAAAUAUAAAAAGAACAACAAAAAAGAAGAAAAAGGUGGUCUUCUGUAUUACCCUGUGGAUGAAAGGGGGCCACAUGCUGACCUGACAAGCUCAGGAGAGGCCUGCAUGGCAGUUUUGCAGACUCGGAGACCUAAAGU